rnacentral:rRNA from 1 species
UACGUAGGGGGCAAGCGUUGUCCGGAAUCAUUGGGCGUAAAGAGCGCGUAGGCGGCCCUGUAAGUCCGCUGUGAAAGUCAAGGGCUCAACCCUUGAAUGCCGGUGGAUACUGCAGGGCUAGAGUCCGGAAGAGGCAAGUGGAAUUCCUGGUGUAGCGGUGGAAUGCGCAGAUAUCAGGAGGAACACCAAUAGCGAAGGCAGCUUGCUGGGACGGUACUGACGCUAAGGCGCGAAAGCGUGGGGAGCGAACAGG